rnacentral:rRNA from 1 species
CCUACAGGAGGCAGCAGGGGGGAAUGUUGCACAAUGGGCGCAAGCCUGAUGCAGCCAUGCCGCGUGUGUGAAGAAGGCCUUCGGGUUGUAAAGCACUUUCAGUCAGGAGGAAAGGUUAGUAUUUAAUACCUGCCAGCUGUGACGUUAGUGACAGAAGAAGCACCGGCUAACUCCGUGCCAGCAGCCGCGGUAAUACGGAGGGUGCGAGCGUUAAUCGGAAUUACUGGGCGUAAAGCGUGCGCAGGCGGUUUGNUAAGCGAGAUGUGAAAGCCCCGGGCUCAACCUGGGAACUGCAUAUUGAACUGGCAAACUAGAGUGUGAUAGAGGGUGGUAGAAUU